rnacentral:miRNA from 1 species
UUUCUUUUGCGACGUGCAAUA